UAGCCUAACUGAGAUAGAGGUAUGCUCCGCAUGCUGGGCGUUAACCAGGGAGUCGACUUCCACUUUUGCCCUUCCUCUAUCCAUCACUCACGAGCGCUCCAACAUCGGCCGUGAUGGCGGCGGCUGCGCCGUCAUAUUCGGCAACAACAACUGAGUUUGGAGCCACGAGAUCUUUGUCGCCGGCAACAGUCCCGGAGUCGCCCAGGUUCGGAUCCAUGGAGGCACAAAUCACUGCAUCGGCCACAGAUCCGAAGUCGCCUCCUCGUCCUUCCUUCGCUAGAUGUUCUCCUUCGCCGGCGGUCUUGUUGCUAGAGGCGCCCCCGACCUGUGCAUCCGUUUCAACGCCAACUCCUCCACCAGCUAACUCAUUCGGAGUAGGUUUAGAAAUUGAUUGGGAUUCAAUUCAGCUAGACCCUAGAUGGGAGGAGGAAGACUACAAGAAGUUGUUAACGUGGAAGUGGUGUAUGAUACACUGGGCCUGACAAAUGAGGUGAUGGGUGGAACCAAUUGUGAUGGUUGGCAAAACGAUUAUGGUGAUGCAGGGGCAGCUAUAGAAUGCAAGGACAUUGACGAUGACAUUGUAAUGUUUGAUAUGAAAAAUCCAGUUAUGAGGCUUGGUAACAUAUAUAUAUAGUAGCAUGAAGGAGUUUAGGCUCGCAAUGAUCCAAUAUGCAAUUAACAAGGAAUUUGAGCUAGGCAUUGAAGCUACUAGUACUCGAAGGUAUAGAGGUUAUUGUAAAGGGGAUGAUUGUCCAUGGAGUAUUCAUGCCAGAAAAGAAGUAGAAGAAUCGCCUAUCAUCAUUGUUACUGCCAUGACAGAUAUCCACACUUGUACAUCUAGUGGUAGGUGAAGGACAAAGACACCUACUAGUGGUUGGGUUGCUGCCCAAGCAAUACCUCUCUUGAAGAAGAAACCUGGCAUGGGAGCCAAGGAGUUGCAAAAUGCACUACAUGACACUUAUAAUGUUCAGAUUGCAUAUCUAACUCUUUGGAGAGGGAGAGAGAAGGCUUUGUAUGAGUUGUUUGGUAGUUAGGAGGAUAGUUUCCAACUUUGUUCUCUUGGAAGGAAGCUGUGUUGGAGAAAAGUUUAAGAAAGCUUACGAGGGAAGAAUAGAGCAACUAGGAGAUAAGUCUUUUUGGCCAAAAGUGGAGAUGGCAAAUGAGGUGGGGGCACCACUGGGUAGGAGAGGUGUGGGCAGACAAAGGAAAAAUAGAAUCAAAGGUUGCCUAGAAGGCGGUAGGGGCAAGAAAGCAUGUGCAAACGAAACUGUAAAGCAAUGGAAGGUAAUUCGGGGACAAUAAGGAUGUCUUUGGUUUGAAGUCAAAGUAGGAUGAGGCGGGGGCGACACCGUCCCCUCAAUUUUUUGGGAUCACGCCGUCACCAAAAAAUUACUCCGGUAUUUAUUUCACCCCACGUGAUUCUCAUCCAAACACUAUAGAAACUGUAGCCAUCCCCUUCCAUCCCUCCUUAUACAUCCAACCAAACACACCCUAAAUGUUUAUAUUGUGGGGAGCUAGGCCACAAGAAGAACAGCCCUAAAUGUCCUUUAAAUGGCACGAAGAAGAGGCGUGUGUUUUAUGUGUUGAUCUUUGUUCCUGUUUCCUGUUCUGUUUUUUUUUUCAAAAACUUACAGCUGGUGUGUAUUCUUAUAGGCCAAGGAAGCAGCGACAUAACUCUACUCAAAAAUGGUUUUAUGUGUUGAUCUUUGUUCCUGUUUCCUGUUCUGUUUUUUUCAAAAACUUACAGCUGGUCUGUAUUCUUAUAGGCCAAGGAAGCAGCGACAUUACUCAAAAAUGGUUUCCUCGCGACGACAGAUUUACACAAGAACCUAGAACACCGCAUUUCGACAAAGUUAUACAAGACCCUGGUACACCACAUGAACAGCCAUCGUCUUCGCAGCCACUUCCAAGGGUAUUGAUAAAAAAAAUCACUCCAAGAAAGAGGAAGUCGGUUCCACUAAGCAUGGACGAGAUGUAGUAUCUGUUAGUUGUAUCAUCCAUGUGUUGUCAGCAUGUGACUGCAGACAUGUGCCAUGUAUCAGACUUAUUGUAUCAGACUACGUUCAGCCUACUUGUUAGUAGCUGAGUUAUUGUGUUUCCUACUACGUUCAGACUACAUCUAUCAGACUUAUUACAUCUCGUUCAGACUUAUGUGUUUCCUGUUUGUGCCAUGUAUCAGUGGAAGUCUCAAUGCCCUGGGAAAAGAAGAAGAGAGCCACGAGAAAGGAAGGGGCAAAACUGGAAGUCUCAAUGUCGCUCCCUGGUUAACGCCCAGCGUUCUCAGUUCCAAAUGUGAAAGAACAUCAGCUUUCAACCAUUGAUAGUCAUGGAUCUCCUCCUCUUGGUGGUGGUACUAUCACAGGCAGCAAAUUGGGUAGAUAAUGGUAUGGUGAAGAGGAUAAGGGAUGUUUCGUUCUCCAGGAGAGUAUCUCCAUAGUUGGAAAGCCACAUUAUAUAUGAUGCACGUGGGUUUGGGAUCCACUUGUGGAAUUUUGUUUUAUCAUACUUUCCUGUGGGUUUUGGAAUCCACUAUGAUACUAGCAACAGGCUAGACACAUGAAUCUAGAGAAUGUUUCCCACAGUUCGUAUUGUGCCUAGGGGAAAACUAUAAAUGGAAAAGGUGCAAAACA